UGCUGCAUGGCUGUCGUCAGCUCGUGUCGUGAGAUGUUCGGUUAAGUCCGCUAACGAGCGCAACCCUCACUGUGUGUUAUAUGUGUCACACGGGACUGCCGGUCUUAAGCCGGAGGAAGGUGGGGAUGAUGUCAAGUCAGCAUGGCCUUUAUAUCCUGGGCUACACACACGCUACAAUGGCCAACACAAUAGGUUGCUAAGCCGCGAGGUGGCGCCAAUCCAUAAAGUUGGUCUCAGUUCAGAUUGUAGGCUGCAACCCGCCUGCAUGAAGAUGGAGUUGCUAGUAACCGCAGGUCAGCUAUACUGCGGUGAAUACGUUCCCGGGGCUU
rnacentral:rRNA from 1 species